rnacentral:tRNA from 1 species
CUCCUGAUAGCUCAGUUGGUAGAGCGAUGGACUGUAAUUGAAAUUGGAAUCCACAGGUCGCGUGUUCGACUCACGCUCGGGAGA